GUUUGAUCCUGGCUCAGGACGAACGCUGGCGGCGUGCCUAACACAUGCAAGUCGAACGAGAAUCUUUGAACAGAUCUUUUCGGAGUGACGUUCAAAGAGGAAAGUGGCGGACGGGCGAGUAACGCGUGAGUAACCUGCCCAUAAGAGGGGGAUAAUCCAUGGAAACGUGGACUAAUACCGCAUAUUGUAGUUAAGUUGCAUGACUUGAUUAUGAAAGAUUUAUCGCUUAUGGAUGGACUCGCGUCAGAUUAGAUAGUUGGUGAGGUAACGGCUCACCAAGUCAACGAUCUGUAGCCGAACUGAGAGGUUGAUCGGCCGCAUUGGGACUGAGACACGGCCCAGACUCCUACGGGAGGCAGCAGUGGGGAAUAUUGCGCAAUGGGGGCAACCCUGACGCAGCAACGCCGCGUGCAGGAAGAAGGUCUUCGGAUUGUAAACUGUUGUCGCAAGGGAAGAAGACAGUGACGGUACCUUGUGAGAAAGUCACGGCUAACUACGUGCCAGCAGCCGCGGUAAUACGUAGGUGACAAGCGUUGUCCGGAUUUACUGGGUGUAAAGGGCGCGUAGGCGGACUGUCAAGUCAGUCGUGAAAUACCGGGGCUUAACCCCGGGGCUGCGAUUGAAACUGACAGCC
rnacentral:rRNA from 1 species